GGGCCCGCGACGCAUUAGCUAGUUGGUGGGGUAAAGGCUUACCAAGGCAAUGAUGCGUAGCCGAACUGAGAGGUUGAUCGGCCACAUUGGGACUGAGACACGGCCCAAACUCCUACGGAAGGCAGCAG
rnacentral:rRNA from 1 species